GUGAAGGCUCUCCUAGACCCAUUUAAGAACUGACUACCAGUAGGAAAGGGUCUUAUCUGAAAAUCCCUCCUCUGGAGUUUUGCAGGGAGCCUAGGGUGCAGGGAAGUUGUCUGAAUGGCAGAAGAGUUGCGCAAGUAACUGGCAGAUCUCUCUUGUUGAGAUUUCUUCCCACAGCGAAGCUGGUUGUUGAAAUGUCUUCUGAAACUCUCACUGAGCAAAUACAGUGCAAAUGGAUUGACACAAGAGUUGCAGAAGCUUAGCACUCGGGCCACUAAGCAGAAUUUUCAAGAAAUGGAGAAAUUAUUUUUACUUACCAAGAAAAGAGAAGUUUAACAUGAGUGAAGAGGGAUUCAUAUUCCAGUGCUUUGCCGAAUCACAGAGUCAUGGAAUAUGCACAGUUGGAAGGCACCCAGAAUGACUACACAGCUCAACCCAACUCCUGGCUGCAUACAGAACCACCCAAAAUUCAAACACUGUGUCUGAGAGCAUUGUCCAAACCACUCCUAGAACUCCAUCGCCUUGGUGCUGUGCCCACUGCCCUGGGCAGCCUGCAGCCUGUUUCAUGUCUGCCGCCCUUCAGGUAGAGACCCUUUCCCUAACUCCAACCUGUCCCUCCCCUGACUCAGCUCCACGCCGUUCCCUCGGGCCCUGUCGCUGUCAAAGAGAGCAGAGCUCAGCGCUGCCCCUCUACUCCCUGUGAGGAGCUGCAGUCGCCAUGAGCCGCCCCCUGCCCCCCAGCUCCUCUGCUCGGUGCUUGGGGCUGAACUAAACGAGGGACCUCAACUGCUCCACAUGAGGCAGCAACCUUGUCAUAAUUCAUUGCUUAAGCAGUAUUUGGUUCUGUUAAUAUCUACACUGGAGACGUUUUCAGAAGCUUUUACAUUCCCAAAAAAGGUGGCAUAUAUUCGUACUUUGACACAUAUUGCUGACCUAUGACUAAGUCCAAAUUUGAGGUCUUUCAAGCAGAGGGCCUUUUUUCCACAAGAGAAGAAAAAAAGUAAUAGCUGGGUUCAGCCCAAAAAAUUUCAGCAUUGUCCUUCAGUUGAAUACGAGAUGGCAUUCUUCCAAGAUCUCAGUAGUCUGUGUCAACGGGAAGGAGAAAGCACUAAGCAAUUUACAAAAUCUGUCAUGUUGUUUAUAUAUCUGCAAAGACAUAGAGACAGGUUACAGAUAAAAUCAAAUGCAAACUAGGCGAACUCAGAAGUAUUCCCAAAAUGAAUAUCCAGCUUCUUCCUUUGGAUAAAACUUAUGUAAGGCUAAAAUAUAUCACCAACCAUUCAGAUUACAAAUUGUGUAUUUUUUUAUAAAUUAAACAACAUUGGUAAAUCAGAGUAAGAAGCAAAUUAUUUAGGUAAAUUAUUUAAAAAAUUCCAUCUUUUCCUUUCCUUCACUAUUGAAAAAAUAAAAUAAUGGGUUCUCAGGAAGAUCAGGAAAUAAUUAUACGUAUGUAUUUGACUUUAAUUAAUUCCUUCACGUAAAUUCUAUCACUCUACUCUGUCAUUAUCACUGCUGACAAAAGCAUCUCAGCUCUUGAAAUAUUUUUAUAGUAAGUUUCCUUACUUUGUAGUUACCAGUGGACACAAGCAAAAACUUGCCUAUUCUGCAGAUAUUAGUUUUGUUUAUAUAGAGCAUAAAUGUCCAACCUGCUACUUUUAUGUUUUUGUUGCCCUCUUUUUUUUAGUAUUUUAAUUUUUUAAAAAAUUGUCUUGUUAUUUAAAUACAUAAACUUUAUUUGUAUAUUUUAUAUGCAUCCCAAAACAAUUCCUUUUCACUCAAUGUAGCCCUGACAAGCCAAAAGGUUGGACACCCAUGUUAUUGAGUGUUUUAAUUACAAAGCAAUCUCCUCCUGUACCCAAAAUAACCAUGAAAGAAAGAAUAUGUUCUUCUUGAGUUAUAACAUUUUGCAGCCUUAUAAAUUAUCAAAUGCCUUCUUAAAUGCAUGUCUCAGUUCUCAAUUAGUAUGUAAAUUUAAUUGGGAAAGCAACUUUCUCUGCUGAAUCCAUUGUGCUAUUUCCCUCCCAUGAACUUGACUUCAAAAGAAGCCGCUUCAUGGUUCAUCGUAAGUGGUUCCUCUGUUAUACUCCUACCUCUUUCUCUAGAGUACUUUGUGCUGAUGCCCUUCAAAACCAAAUUAGAAAGAAUAAGAAAAAAAAAAACAACCCAAAGACAAUAAUUAAGAAGCCACUGAUCAGUGAUUACAGCCUAUCAUACUACCCAGGGUUGCAGUAAUCCUACAAAGGGAACUGAAAGCUCCUGGGAAAGGCUAAAUACUUCAUCCUUCCUAUUUAUUUUAUUUUUUUUUUUUGCAGUUCAUAAAACUUUUAAAUCAAAAUGUAAAAGGUCAGAUAUUUUGAAAAGGAUAAUAUGAGUAAAUCUGAAUACAAAACAGUAUCUGUUGGUUUACUGGCGCAUUUUGAAUAUCUCCAGA